UGUUCCAAUCAGUACUCAGGACAGAACACAGACAACUCGCAAUGGAGUUUGUGCUUGGCUGGGUGUUCCUUGUUGCUCUUUUAAAAGGUGUUCAGUGCGAGGUGCAGCUGGUGGAGUCUGGGGGAGACCUGGUGAAGCCUGGGGGGUCCCUGAGACUCUCCUGUGCAGCCUCUGGAUUCACCUUCAGCAACUACCACAUGGACUGGGUCCGCCAGGCUCCAGGGAAGGGGCUGCAGUGGGUCGCACGUAUUAGCAAUACUGGUAGUAGCACAUACUACGCAGACUCUGUGAAGGGCCGAUUCACCAUCUCCAGAGACAACGGCAAGAACACACUUUAUCUGCAGAUGAACAGCCUGAGAGUCGAGGACACGGCCGUGUAUUACUGUGCAAGAGGGGGGUCAUGAAGCAGACUCCCUGGC